UGUGAGAUGGUGAGAGGGAGAAGAGAGAUUAGCUCUCUAUAUGCAAGUCAAGAACACAAAAAGUUGUAGAUGAA